rnacentral:rRNA from 1 species
GAUGAACGCUGGCGGCGUGCCUAAUACAUGCAAGUCGAGCGAACGGACGAGAAGCUUGCUUCUCUGAUGUUAGCGGCGGACGGGUGAGUAACACGUGGAUAACCUACCUAUAAGACUGGGAUAACUUCGGGAAACCGGAGCUAAUACCGGCUAAUAUUUUGAACCGCAUGGUUCAAAAGUUAAUGACGGUCUUGCUGUCACUUAUAGAUGGAUCCGCGCUGCAUUAGCUAGUUGGUAAGGUAACGGCUUACCAAGGCAACGAUGCAUAGCCGACCUGAGAGGAUGAUCGGCCACACUGGAACUGAGACACGGUCCAGACUCCUACGGGAGGCAGCAGUAGGGAAUCUUCCGCAAUGGGCGAAAGCCUGACGGAGCAACGCCGCGUGAGUGAUGAAGGUCUUCGGAUCGUAAAACUCUGUUAUUAGGGAAGAACAUAUGUGUAAGUAACUGUGCACAUCUUGACGGUACCUAAUCAGAAAGCCACGGCUAACUACGUG